rnacentral:rRNA from 1 species
GAUGAACGCUGGCGGCGUGCCUAAUACAUGCAAGUCGAGCGAACAGAUAAGGAGCUUGCUCCUUUGACGUUAGCGGCGGACGGGUGAGUAACACGUGGAUAACCUACCUAUAAGACUGGGAUAACUUCGGGAAACCGGAGCUAAUACCGGAUAACAUAUUGAACCGCAUGGUUCAAUAGUGAAAGGCGGCUUUGCUGUCACUUAUAGAUGGAUCCGCGCCGUAUUAGCUAGUUGGUAAGGUAACGGCUUACCAAGGCAACGAUACGUAGCCGACCUGAGAGGGUGAUCGGCCACACUGGAACUGAGACACGGUCCAGACUCCUACGGGAGGCAGCAGUAGGGAAUCUUCCGCAAUGGGCGAAAGCCUGACGGAGCAACGCCGCGUGAGUGAUGAAGGUCUUCGGAUCGUAAAACUCUGUUAUCAGGGAAGAACAAAUGUGUAUGUAACUGUGCACAUCUUGACGGUACCUGAUCAGAAAGCCACGGCUAACUACGUG